AAACAAUGCCUACCGACGCUGACAAUCCCUAUAUUAAUUGUCUGUCUUAUUUGAAUUUUUUUUAUAAUUAGUAUUUUUGUUGUUAUGAGAUGAUAAACAUGAAUAAUAUUUUAUACGUGACUUAUGUUUUUAAAAUUUUACACAAAAUUUUCAAAUAAGACGGACGGUUAAAGUUGCGCACGAAAAAUUAUUGCUGUACUUAAA
rfam:Oryza sativa (indica cultivar-group) chromosome 7, whole genome shotgun sequence.